GAUGAACGCUGGCGGCGUGCUUAACACAUGCAAGUCGAACGAUGAAGCCCAGCUUGCUGGGUGGAUUAGUGGCGAACGGGUGAGUAACACGUGAGUAACCUGCCCUUAACUCUGGGAUAAGCCUGGGAAACUGGGUCUAAUACCGGAUAGGAGCGUCCACCGCAUGGUGGGUGUUGGAAAGAUUUAUCGGUUUUGGAUGGACUCGCGGCCUAUCAGCUUGUUGGUGAGGUAAUGGCUCACCAAGGCGACGACGGGUAGCCGGCCUGAGAGGGUGACCGGCCACACUGGGACUGAGACACGGCACAGACUCCUACGGGAGGCAGCAGUGGGGAAUAUUGCACAAUGGGCGCAAGCCUGAUGCAGCGACGCCGCGUGAGGGAUGACGGCCUUCGGGUUGUAAACCUCUUCAGUAGGGAAGAAGCGAAAGUGACGGUACCGGCAGAAGAAGCACCGGCGAACUACGU
rnacentral:rRNA from 1 species